rnacentral:lncRNA from 1 species
UUUUCAUUUUGUCAUCCCACUCCAUUUGAAUUUUUUUGUUUUGUUUGUUUUUUUCCUCCUAGUGCUGAAUGAAAGAGAGAACAAGGAAAAAGAAAGGAAAAUGAACUUGGACACAACCCAGCACGUACCUCCAGGUCCUGGUCCUUUUGAUCUGGCUUAGUCAUCCGCAGUUGUACUAUGCUGCAUUACAUGAGAAAAGAACAACGAAAAAAGAGAGGAAGGGGAGCUGUCCUUUCUAGGAUAAGGAAAUUUGGUCCAGAGCACAGCUGUCUAGGAAAGUAAAGCCAAAGUCAUGUCCCAGUUCACAAAGCCAUGCUUCCUGCAAUAGCUGCUAUGCUAUAUGAGCAGCAGGAAUGUGUGCUGUGUGCUGGAAGAGGCAGCCAAGGAAAACAGAACAGGAAGACUUAAAAUGAAAUUGACUUACCUGCUUUUGUGGCCAUGUCUGAUCCCAUGUUUGAUCUAUUUUUACUACUGUGUUACCUCAUCCUUGAGGAAGUCCUGAUUUCAUUAAAGGUGUCCUUGGUCUCUUUGGCUUCAGAAGUCAACACUGCAUACACUGUUAUUACUGAAAAAUGGGAAUUCUUAUCUAUUCAUCUACUUCACUGCUAUGUCCAUGUAGACAAAUUUACUGCAGCCAGAUACGAUAAAAAAACAGCAAAGUUCAGAUGGGGAUAAUCCAGGAUGGAAACCAGGACAAAGUGGAGGCAAUAAAAGUGCAAGGAAAAGUUGAAGAAUCAGUUGAAGAUUGAGCCUGGGGGAGGUAGGGUGAAAAAAUCAUAUCACACUGAAGCAAAAGUGGACUUUAAUAAAUGAUUUCAGUAAAAAACA